rnacentral:sRNA from 1 species
GUUGAGCAUGGUGGCAGAUGCCUGUAAUCUCAGUGACAUGGGAGGCCGAGGAAGGAGGAUCACUUAAGUGUGAAGUCCGCCUGGGUAAUUUAAUAGUGAGACCCUUUCUCAA